CUUCUCUCUUUGGAUUUUGGCGGGGGAUAAAUGCAUUCUUUCCCACUGCUCCUUCCUCUAUGCUAAUGAUCAUAAUUUGAUAAAAUAACGCAGUUUGUAUAUGAGAAUGCAUUUUUACCCCGCCAAAACUCAAAGAGAAUGAAGAGAAUGAUAUCUUCAAAGGUUAAGCAAAGACAACACCAUCUACAAUAUGCCAACGACUAGCAUGGAAAGAGAUCUUGGAUUCAAUUGGUUGUAAAUGUGUUGGCCAGAUUGGCAUGCAUGGACUUUUUAGAGAGUUAUCCAUCCUCUGUAAAAAAAUACAAUAGAAAACUAUCCUAGGAAAACUCCAUUCUCAAGUGUUUUUGACAAUGACUAGCAGUGUCAAUGUCAUAUGCUUGAUAAAUCAGCUAUCACAGCUAGGCUCCUAACAUAGCCUCUAUGAAGGUUUCCAACCACUCCUUUCGAGCAUAGUGAGCUGUCAAUAGUCAAUUAGCCAUGCUAGAAUUUGGAAAAUUUGGGGAAAUUUUGGUCUUUCUUGUUAUGUGACAAAGAGUUUGUCCAUAUAUUGCUGAAAAUGGUACAUAUGGUAAGAAAAUAAUUAACACAUUUCCGGCCUGCAUGUGACUAUUAUAUAAUUUUGUUAUUAUCUGGCUGCGCAAAGCUUUUAUCUAUUGCUUUAGUACAUUAAAUGGGACACAAAUAGGUUGUGUUUAAGGGACAAUUCUUACAUACUUUUGGAGCAGUGUUUCAUAUUCUCACAAAGGAAGUGGGUUCCAUGGUAGGUUCCAUGUGUGGACCCACUUAUUUUAUGAGAGCUCAAAGCACUACUAUAGAAGUAUGUAAAUUUUUCCCCAUGUCUAACCAUAUAUGGUUUUAGUGUUUUACUAUUGUCAUGCAAUAGGACAUAUCAUAACAGUUCUCAUGAAUGCUAACAUAGACUCAGAGCUUGUAAUUUCUGAAAAUUUACCAAAGGGUUGGGAUAGUGCUCAAACUUUAAAAUAAAAUUGAGAGCUUCUUUAAAAGGGUUUGAUGCUGAAAUGUGGCAUGAGAA